rnacentral:rRNA from 1 species
AAAACUUUCAACAACGGAUCUCUUGGUUCUGGCAUCGAUGAAGAACGCAGCGAAAUGCGAUAAGUAAUGUGAAUUGCAGAAUUCAGUGAAUCAUCGAAUCUUUGAACGCACAUUGCCGUGAAUUCCACGGCAUCGCCUGUUCGAGCGUCAUUU